rnacentral:rRNA from 1 species
UUAAGCGACUAAGCGUACACGGUGGAUGCCCUGGCAGUCAGAGGCGAUGAAGGACGUGCUAAUCUGCGAAAAGCGUCGGUAAGGUGAUAUGAACCGUUACAGCCGGCGAUGUCCGAAUGGGGAAACCCAGUGCAAUUCGUUGCACUAUCGUUAACUGAAUACAUAGGUUAACGAGGCGAACCGGGGGAACUGAAACAUCUAAGUACCCCGAGGAAAAGAAAUCAACCGAGAUUCCCCCAGUAGCGGCGAGCGAACGGGGAGCAGCCCAGAGUCUGAAUCAGCUUGUGUGUUAGUGGAACGGUCUGGAAAGUCCGACGGUACAGGGUGAUAGUCCCGUACACCAAAAUGCACAGGUUGUGAACUCGAAGAGUAGGGCGGGACACGUGGUAUCCUGUCUGAAUAUGGGGGGACCAUCCUCCAAGGCUAAAUACUCCUGACUGACCGAUAGUGAACCAGUACCGUGAGGGAAAGGCGAAAAGAACCCCGGCGAGGGGAGUGAAAAAGAACCUGAAACCGUGUACGUACAAGCAGUGGGAGCACCUUCGGGUGUGACUGCGUACCUUUUGUAUAAUGGGUCAGCGACUUAUAUUCUGUAGCAAGGUUAACCGUAUAGGGGAGCCGCAGGGAAACCGAGUCUUAACUGGGCGUUAAGUUGCAGGGUAUAGACCCGAAACCCGGUGAUCUAGCCAUGGGCAGGUUGAAGGUUGGGUAACACUAACUGGAGGACCGAACCGACUAAUGUUGAAAAAUUAGCGGAUGACUUGUGGCUGGGGGUGAAAGGCCAAUCAAACCGGGAGAUAGCUGGUUCUCCCCGAAAGCUAUUUAGGUAGCGCCUCGUGAAUUCAUCUUCGGGGGUAGAGCACUGUUUCGGCUAGGGGGUCAUCCCGACUUACCAACCCGAUGCAAACUACGAAUACCGAAGAAUGUUAUCACGGGAGACACACGGCGGGUGCUAACGUCCGUCGUGAAGAGGGAAACAACCCAGACCGCCAGCUAAGGUCCCAAAGUCAUGGUUAAGUGGGAAACGAUGUGGGAAGGCACAGACAGCCAGGAUGUUGGCUUAGAAGCAGCCAUCAUUUAAAGAAAGCGUAAUAGCUCACUGGUCGAGUCGGCCUGCGCGGAAGAUGUAACGGGGCUAAACCAUGCACCGAAGCUGCGGCAGCGACACGAUGUGUUGUUGGGUAGGGGAGCGUUCUGUAAGCCUGCGAAGGUGGCCUGUGAGGGUUGCUGGAGGUAUCAGAAGUGCGAAUGCUGACAUAAGUAACGAUAAAGCGGGUGAAAAGCCCGCUCGCCGGAAGACCAAGGGUUCCUGUCCAACGUUAAUCGGGGCAGGGUGAGUCGACCCCUAAGGCGAGGCCGAAAGGCGUAGUCGAUGGGAAACAGGUUAAUAUUCCUGUACUUGGUGUUACUGCGAAGGGGGGACGGAGAAGGCUAUGUUAGCCGGGCGACGGUUGUCCCGGUUUAAGCAUGUAGGCUGGUUAUCCAGGCAAAUCCGGAUAAUCAAGGCUGAGGUGUGAUGACGAAGCACUACGGUGCUGAAGUAACAAAUGCCCUGCUUCCAGGAAAAGCCUCUAAGCAUCAGGUAACAUCAAAUCGUACCCCAAACCGACACAGGUGGUCAGGUAGAGAAUACCAAGGCGCUUGAGAGAACUCGGGUGAAGGAACUAGGCAAAAUGGUGCCGUAACUUCGGGAGAAGGCACGCUGGUGUGUAGGUGAAGUCCCUGCGGAUGGAGCUGAGACCAGUCGAAGAUACCAGCUGGCUGCAACUGUUUAUUAAAAACACAGCACUGUGCAAACACGAAAGUGGACGUAUACGGUGUGACGCCUGCCCGGUGCCGGAAGGUUAAUUGAUGGGGUUAUCCGUAAGGAGAAGCUCUUGAUCGAAGCCCCGGUAAACGGCGGCCGUAACUAUAACGGUCCUAAGGUAGCGAAAUUCCUUGUCGGGUAAGUUCCGACCUGCACGAAUGGCGUAAUGAUGGCCAGGCUGUCUCCACCCGAGACUCAGUGAAAUUGAACUCGCUGUGAAGAUGCAGUGUACCCGCGGCAAGACGGAAAGACCCCGUGAACCUUUACUAUAGCUUGACACUGAACAUUGAGCCUUGAUGUGUAGGAUAGGUGGGAGGCUUUGAAGCGUGGACGCCAGUCUGCGUGGAGCCAACCUUGAAAUACCACCCUUUAAUGUUUGAUGUUCUAACGUUGGCCCCUUAUCGGGGUUGCGGACAGUGUCUGGUGGGUAGUUUGACUGGGGCGGUCUCCUCCCAAAGCGUAACGGAGGAGCACGAAGGUUAGCUAAUCCUGGUCGGACAUCAGGAGGUUAGUGCAAUGGCAUAAGCUAGCUUGACUGCGAGCGUGACGGCGCGAGCAGGUGCGAAAGCAGGUCAUAGUGAUCCGGUGGUUCUGAAUGGAAGGGCCAUCGCUCAACGGAUAAAAGGUACUCCGGGGAUAACAGGCUGAUACCGCCCAAGAGUUCAUAUCGACGGCGGUGUUUGGCACCUCGAUGUCGGCUCAUCACAUCCUGGGGCUGAAGUAGGUCCCAAGGGUAUGGCUGUUCGCCAUUUAAAGUGGUACGCGAGCUGGGUUUAGAACGUCGUGAGACAGUUCGGUCCCUAUCUGCCGUGGGCGCUGGAGAAUUGAGGGGGGCUGCUCCUAGUACGAGAGGACCGGAGUGGACGCAUCACUGGUGUUCGGGUUGUCAUGCCAAUGGCACUGCCCGGUAGCUAAAUGCGGAAGAGAUAAGUGCUGAAAGCAUCUAAGCACGAAACUUGCCCCGAGAUGAGUUCUCCCUGAGACUAUAAGUCUCCUGAAGGAACGUUGAAGACGACGACGUUGAUAGGCCGGGUGUGUAAGCGCAGCGAUGCGUUGAGCUAACCGGUACUAAUGAACCGUGAGGCUUAACCUU